rnacentral:rRNA from 1 species
CCUACGGGUGGCAGCAGUCGAGAAUCAUUCACAAUGGGGGAAACCCUGGUGGUGCGACGCCGCGUGGGGGAAUGAAGGUCUUCGGAUUGUAAACCCCUGUCAUGUGGGAGCAAAUUAAAAAGAUAGUACCACAAGAGGAAGAGACGGCUAACUCUGUGCCAGCAGCCGCGGUAAUACAGAGGUCUCAAGCGUUGUUCGGAAUCACUGGGCGUAAAGCGUGCGUAGGCUGUUUCGUAAGUCGUGUGUGAAAGGCGCGGGCUCAACCCGCGGACGGCACAUGAUACUGCGAGACUAGAGUAAUGGAGGGGGAACCGGAAUUCUCGGUGUAGCAGUGAAAUGCGUAGAUAUCGAGAGGAACACUCGUGGCGAAGGCGGGUUCCUGGACAGUAACUGACGCUGAGGCACGAAGGCCAGGGGAGCGAAAGGGAUUAGAUACCCUAGUAGUC